rnacentral:tRNA from 1 species
UGGGGUGUAGUUCUGUGGUACAACACUUGCCUUCCAUGAGCAAGGCCCUGGGUUUGAGUCCCAGCACUGUAG